CCACUAUGGACACUUCAGAGUCCAGUUCAACAAGGCAGGAGGAGGAGGAAAGUGGGAGCGAGGGUGCUGAUGCAUGCAGCCAGGAGCUGUUUUCAAGCCAGGAGGAAGGUAGCCAGUCGCAGCAGAUGAUGCUUGGUGAAGAACAAACACCAGCGGAGGUGCCUGAUGCAACCUUGAGAUCCCAGCCAUCCUUGUUACCAGUGGCCGAAAGACUCUAAAGAAUCAGGAAGCAGACAUGUAGAAGUAAAGACGACAUGCUGCAUGAACUAAUGCAGCACUCCCUUAAUGAAAAUCAAUAAGUGCAGGAGUGGCGGGAGAGUGAAAGGAGCAUCCACCAGCAGAAUGCGGAUCGCCGGCACCAAAGCACAGAGUGGCUGCUAAGCAUCAUGGAGCACCAAGUGGACUCGAUACAGGCACUUGUAGCAAUG